rnacentral:rRNA from 1 species
UACGUAGGAGGCAAGCGUUGUCCGGACUUAUUGGGCGUAAAGCGCGCGCAGGUGGUUUCUUAAGUCUGAUGUGAAAGCCCACGGCUCAACCGUGGAGGGUCAUUGGAAACUGGGAGACUUGAGUGCAGAAGAGGAAAGUGGAAUUCCAUGUGUAGCGGUGAAAUGCGUAGAGAUAUGGAGGAACACCAGUGGCGAAGGCGACUUUCUGGUCUGUAACUGACACUGAGGCGCGAAAGCGUGGGGAGCAAACAGG